rnacentral:rRNA from 1 species
UACGUAGGGUGCGAGCGUUGUCCGGAAUUAUUGGGCGUAAAGAGCUCGUAGGCGGUGUGUCACGUCGGCCGUGAAAACCUGCAGCUUAACUGUGGGCGUGCGGUCGAUACGGGCAUCACUGGAGUUCGGCAGGGGAGACUGGAAUUCCUGGUGUAGCGGUGAAAUGCGCAGAUAUCAGGAGGAACACCGGUGGCGAAGGCGGGUCUCUGGGCCGAUACUGACGCUGAGGCACGAAAGCGUGGGGAGCGAACAGG